rnacentral:snRNA from 1 species
GGAUAUGAAGGCAAUCUGGCUGUGACAUUUGUCACCCACUCCAUCACCAGGGUUGAUGUGGCUGACCUGGCUGGCUAGGUGUGUCCUCUUCCUCCUCACUGCCUCAUGCGCAUCUGCCCCAAAGCCGCACACUCAGUGCUCCUGAUGGGAGAGGGUGACCUUCCCUGAACAGAGGAGGACCUGUUUUCAGUCAAGGGUAUGUGAGUAGCUACACUCCCCUGCUACAACCUCCAAACAAGCUCAGAGAAGAAGAAAAAUAGCCAGGCAGUGGUGGUGCACNCCUUUGAUCCCACCCACUUGGGAGGCAGAGGCAGCUGGAUCUCUAUGAGU